rnacentral:misc_RNA from 1 species
GAAAUGCGAUAAGUAAUGUGAAUUGCAGAAUUCAGUGAAUCAUCGAAUCUUUGAACGCACAUUGCGCCCAUUAGUAUUCUAGUGGGCAUGCCUGUUCGAGCGUCAUUUCAACCCUUAAGCCUAGCUUAGUGUUGGGAAUCUACUUCUCUUAGGAGUUGUAGUUCCUGAAAUACAACGGCGGAUUUGUAGUAUCCUCUGAGCGUAGUAAUUUUUUUCUCGCUUUUGUUAGGUGCUAUAACUCCCAGCCGCUAAACCCCCAAUUUUUUGUGGUUGACCUCGGAUCAGGUAGGAAUACCCGCUGAACUUAA